rnacentral:rRNA from 1 species
GCCUGUUUAUCAAAAACAUGGUUUUUUGAGUAUAAUAAAAAAUCUGACCUGCUCAAUGCUUAUGUAAAUAGCCGCAGUAUCAUGACUGUGCUAAGGUAGCAUAAUCAUUUGUCUUCUGAAUGAAGUCUAGUAUGAAAGGUUGGACGAAAAGGAAACUGUCUCUUUAUUAAAAGAUGAAUUUUAUUAUUUAGUAAUAAGGCUAGGAUAAACCUGAGGGACGAUAAGACCCUAUUAAACUUAAUUUUGUAAUUUUACUGGGGCGGUAGAAUAAGAGAGAAAUCUUAUUUAUAAAGUUUUAAUUUUAUUGACCCAAUAAUAUUGAGGAUAAGACAAAGUUACUAUAGGGAUAACAGCUUAAUUUUUUCUUGAAGUUCUUAUUUUAGAGAGAGUUUGAGACCUCGAUGUUGAAUUAAAGUAUCUUUUUAGCGCAGAAGCUAAAUUAAGGAAGUCUGUUCGACUUUAAAAUCUUUACGUGAUCUGAGUUCAGACCG